CCCCAACCUAAGAGUGCACAUCUGUGUGCCUAGCCUGAUCCAGGAUUCACGUGAGGGACCUGUGUCUGUCUAUCCCACUAGCUUAGGGGCAGGAUCCUUUGAGCCUAUCCACCCACUGCCCUGGCACCAGGCUGCUGGGCUGGGGCCCACUACCCAUCCCACCUCCUCAUCCUCAGGCAGCGGGGGCAGGGGUGAGCUGGGAGAGCAUUCACGCUCGCGCACAGAGGGGCUGUUGCGCAUCCAGGCGCGGCAGAUUGGGUACAGUGGCGUGUUCUCGCUGAACUGGGCCAAGUCCACGCUCCGGUCGAACAGCUUGAUCACAUAUGUGUCUGGGAAGGUGGGGAUGGGAGGUGUGUGAGCAUCCUUGCAUAGCCCCUUGGCUCCUUACCGACCCUCUAGGGCCACUGCCUACUCACUGGAUCGCUGCGGCCCUCCCUCAGCCAGCCCAUCAUCCAUCUCCCUCCUCUUCUUCCUCCGCUGGUGGGGGAAGCGGGCAGAUGGCCUGCGUAGGGAGAGGGAGUGUCAGGACUGGGGUAGGAGCUGGGAGCCUCUAGUCAGCUGGCUGGGACCCUGCCACCUUACCUUUUGCCAGUGGCUGCGAUGGAGCAGUCCCUGUGGGGAAAGACAGUUGACCCUCAGACAAACGCCUGUGCAAAACCCUGCAGAGGGCACCCUGGGGAUACUGGUAUCAAACCUGAGAUGCUCACAUGAACCCCACUUGCCUCUUGGGCCUUUUGUCCCACCCAUACCCGUGGGGGUCUAGGUGGCAACCACGAGGGGACCUAAGCUUCUCCUGCCACAGGGUCUUUGUACAGGUGGAGUGGUCAGGGCCACGAUGGAGGUAGCGCUGGGCUGAGCGGUCAGGGCUUGGAUAAGGAAAGAAGUUACCAACCACGAACUCUCAACUCCAAAUCCAAUCAGAAAAACUCACUUAUUGUGGGUGUCUGAGGGUGUUUUCCCAGCUUCCUCAUCCAGACGCUCCCUAGAGGCAGAAGAGAUCUCUCAGCUCAGGGUUCCAGGGCCCCAGAGAAGGAAGGCACCGAGCAGCCUCCCCAUUAAGCACCUUCCUCCCCAAGUCAGCCUGUGGGGUCCCACCCAAUCCACCCAGGAUCAGAGGGCCCAACCUGCCAGGGUGCCCGGCCCUGUGACCCCACGCUGGCCUACCUGUCCAUGUGACUCUUCUCCAGCAGACACUGCAAGACAGCAUCCAGUUGGUUCCGGGCUUUGGCCAUCUCCAGCUCUGGGGCAAGAGAGGACCCAGCAGGAGUCAGCUCCCAGGCCCCAGCUAGGUGGGCAGCUGACUGGGCCAGGGAAGGGCAUGCGUGUCCUCUGCCCCGGCCAAUCUCAGAGCCAGGCCCAGGCAGCCUGAAAGGGUGCAACAGGCAGAGAUGGCUGGAGUGAUGCCCAGAGCUCUGAGUUCCAGAGCUGUCCCACCUGAUCGCUCUGUGACAGGAGACAACACUUCCUUCAGAAAACGGGAAACUUCCAUUUGUCACACGUCUUGGUCCAGAUAAAUCCCAGGAAAUAGCAUCGUGAUCUACACUUCUGAUGAGAAUACUGCAGCCCACAGUAGGAAAGUUAUAUUUUUGAAUUCACGACUACCAGUACAGGAUAACAGCCCCUAGAAAUGGAAGCACUAGGCCGAUCCUACCACUGCACUCCAGCCUGGGUGACAGAGCAAGACUCUGUCUCAAAAAAAAAAAAAAAAGAAAAGA
rnacentral:antisense_RNA from 1 species